rnacentral:rRNA from 1 species
UACGGAGGGAGCUAGCGUUGUUCGGAAUUACUGGGCGUAAAGCGUGCGCAGGCGGCUUUGCAAGACAGAUGUGAAAUCCCCGGGCUCAACCUGGGAACUGCAUUUGUGACUGCAAGGCCAGAGUACGGUAGAGGGGGAUGGAAUUCCGCGUGUAGCAGUGAAAUGCGUAGAUAUGCGGAGGAACACCGAUGGCGAAGGCAAUCCCCUGGACCUGUACUGACGCUCAUGCACGAAAGCGUGGGGAGCAAACAGG